CACCACCGAACCACAUGAGCUUGUAGAGAUAGAGUCAGACUCUUGUCCUGAUUAUGAGAACAUCUCAGACCCUGGAGCACAGACAGAAGACCCUGAGGAGGAGGAAGACCUGUCAGACUCUUGUCCUGAUUAUGAGAACAUCUCAGACCCUGCAGCUCAGGCAAAAGACCCAGAGGAGCAGGAAGACCUGGUGUGAAGUCCAGUCAGAUGCAGUUGGACCAGAGGCGGGACUCACCUGUUGUUUGGGUUUCUUCACAUGCAGUUAAAAGAGAGAGAGAGAGACUCCCGUGGAGGAAAAUAAAGAGAAGUCUUUACCUCCAAACAUUUGAAUUCUCAUUUUUUUUAGAAGCCUCCAGCAGCAGAAGAUUUGAGAAGAAUGCAGCUUUAUUUGUACCUGUGCAGGUACAUAACAUAACUGGACUCAGUUCAGGAUUUAACUUGAUGUGCAAAGUGAUAUUUUUGUAGUAAAUUACUUUUAAGAAAUAUAGUUCAACCUGUAACAUCACACCUGUCCUGGCAGGGAAAGCCAUUAAAGUCCAACUCUUCCACAGCAUGUACAGUAUAUUAUUACACAAAGAAUAUUCUCCUUUCCUAGUUGUGUCAUUUCUGUGUAUUGGAUGUGUUAUUCGUAGUUUGAACAUGAUGCCAGUUCCCUCUCACUGCUGCAGAGGGCGAUAGUGUGCAGGUGCAAGCUUUGGAUUUCAGCUUUAAACUCUUUUUUAUUGAUCAG